GGACGGGUGAGUAACGCGUGGGUAACCUGCCCUGUACACACGGAUAACAUACCGAAAGGUAUGCUAAUACGAGAUAAUAUGCUUUUAUCGCAUGGUAGAAGUAUCAAAGCUUUUGCAGUACAGGAUGGACCCGCGUCUGAUUAGCUAGUUGGUAAGGUAACGGCUUACCAAGGCGACGAUCAGUAGCCGACCUGAGAGGGUGAUCGGCCACAUUGGAACUGAGACACGGUCCAAACUCCUACGGGAGGCAGCAGUGGGGAAUAUUGCACAAUGGGCGAAAGCCUGAUGCAGCAACGCCGCGUGAGCGAUGAAGGCCUUCGGGUCGUAAAGCUCUGUCCUCAAGGAAGAUAAUGACGGUACUUGAGGAGGAAGCCCCGGCUAACUACGUGCCAGCAGCCGCGGUAAUACGUAGGGGGCUAGCGUUAUCCGGAAUUACUGGGCGUAAAGGGUGCGUAGGUGGUUUCUUAAGUCAGAGGUGAAAGGCUACGGCUCAACCGUAGUAAGCCUUUGAAACUGGGAAACUUGAGUGCAGGAGAGGAGAGUGGAAUUCCUAGUGUAGCGGUGAAAUGCGUAGAUAUUAGGAGGAACACCAGUUGCGAAGGCGGCUCUCUGGACUGUAACUGACACUGAGGCAC
rnacentral:rRNA from 1 species